rnacentral:lncRNA from 1 species
CUCAUUUGUUCCGUGUCUAACCACCAAGUCAAGCAUGUGUGAGUUUAUCAGGGUAAUUUGUGCCCUGGGAAAUGUGAUUCAACACAUUUGUCUCCUUUUCCUUUACAUAAACACGUAUAAUUUCUUUUUUAAUUUGUCAGUCACUCUUGGUAGAUCAGCCUAACCAAAAUCAGUCAUGUUUUCCCAAGUUUUCAGAAGCACACGCAGGAGAUUGAUGCCGCAGAAACACAUGCAGUACCAUGUCCUACCACGUGAGGGCGAGGGUCAUAACAGUGCCAUUUGUUUGGUCUGAGACUCUGGUUGUUCUGUUCAAAGAGACACAUGGGCUGCCUUCAUAUCCACAAAGCUGGAGACAGAGUCUUUCUGACCCGUAUCCUCCCUGCGCUGGGCCUCAGCCACCUGUGGUGCAGCUAGACCAUCCAUCUUUCCCCUAUACACACACACACACACACACACACACACACACACACAUGCUGCUAUGGGCUGUGCCCCGUAGUCAUUGCGUAAGCAUCCUGACAUCUUAAUGUAAGAGUUAAAGGAAUAGUCUCUCAAAAAUAAAAAUUGUCAUAAUUUACUCACCUUCAUGUAGUUCCAAAACUGUAUGACUUUCUAUCUUUCGUGGAACAAAUAUAGAAAAUAUAGAAAAAAAAUCUUUACACUGCCCU